rnacentral:lncRNA from 1 species
GGUGCAAAGAGGGGCAAGUGUCCCAGCCCCGCUCCUGCCUCCUCAGCUGCAGUUCGUGAGGACCACCGGCGCUGUCCUGAAAUCUCCUUGUGGCAGCCCUUAUAUGUGGAGCGGAGCAGCUACAGAAAUCCCUUAACCUUUCAAGGACAGCCCGGGAUCACCAGAGCCGCCUACGUUCAGCCGAGGUGUGCACGCCAGCUGGGCUCUGGAACCUCACAGAUCGGGUGCAAAGGAGAGCAGAGGAGGCAGCGCAGUGGGAGCGACAUCUUGUGGAAGAGAAUCAGGUACGUAUUUAUUUUUUAAAAACUCUCCACCAAAUGGGCCAAGGAAAGCCCUACCUGUGAGAGGAGACUACUGUAAACUAGAAACUUAACUCUCUUCUCCCAAGUGCACAACACUGGGAAGUUCUGGUUCCAACCUGGAAGAUUCGCAGAUGAGCCCUGAAACAGUCCUCCUGGGACCAGAGGGACUUGGGGCACGGGAGGUGGGGGUGACGAUGAACCGAGUGCAGGGAGCAAGCGCGGGGCGGUGAGAGGAGAGAAGAAUCUGCCAGUAACCAGUAAGUGGAGGAUUAGGAGUGUUUCGCGUGGUGCUUGCUCUCACACCGCCUGUUUUAAAAUCUUGCACUGCAGGAUGCCAGUGGC